rnacentral:rRNA from 1 species
CCUACGGGUGGCAGCAGUCGAGAAUCAUUCACAAUGGGGGAAACCCUGAUGGUGCGACGCCGCGUGGGGGAAUGAAGGUCUUCGGAUUGUAAACCCCUGUCAUGUGGGAGCAAAUUAAAAAGAUAGUACCACAAGAGGAAGAGACGGCUAACUCUGUGCCAGCAGCCGCGGUAAUACAGAGGUCUCAAGCGUUGUUCGGAAUCACUGGGCGUAAAGCGUGCGUAGGCUGUUUCGUAAGUCGUGUGUGAAAGGCGCGGGCUCAACCCGCGGACGGCACAUGAUACUGCGAGACUAGAGUAAGGGAGGGGGAACCGGAAUUCGCGGGGUAGCAGUGAAAUGCGUAGAUAUCGAGAGGAACACUCGUGGCGAAGGCGGGCUCCUGGACAUUAACUGACGCUGAGGCACGAAGGCCAGGGGAGCGAAAGGGAUUAGAUACCCUUGUAGUC